GAUGAACGCUGGCGGCGUGCCUAAUACAUGCAAGUAGAACGCUGAAGGAAGGAGCUUGCUCUUUCCGGAUGAGUUGCGAACGGGUGAGUAACGCGUAGGUAACCUGCCUGGUAGCGGGGGAUAACUAUUGGAAACGAUAGCUAAUACCGCAUAACAGUAGAUGUUGCAUGAUAUCUACUUAAAAGGUGCAAUUGCACCACUACCAGAUGGACCUGCGUUGUAUUAGCUAGUUGGUGAGGUAACGGCUCACCAAGGCGACGAUACAUAGCCGACCUGAGAGGGUGAUCGGCCACACUGGGCCUGAGACACGGCCCAGACUCCUACGGGAGGCAGCAGUAGGGGAUCUUCGGCAAUGGACGGAAGUCUGACCGAGCAACGCCGCGUGAGUGAAGAAGGUUUUCGGAUCGUAAAGCUCUGUUGUAAGAGAAGAACGAGUGUGAGAGUGGAAAGUUCACACUGUGACGGUAUCUUACCAGAAAGGGACGGCUAACUACGUG
rnacentral:rRNA from 1 species